rnacentral:rRNA from 1 species
AACGAACGCUGGCGGCAUGCCUAACACAUGCAAGUCGAACGAGACCUUCGGGUCUAGUGGCGCACGGGUGCGUAACGCGUGGGAAUCUGCCCUUUGCUUCGGAAUAACAGUUAGAAAUGACUGCUAAUACCGGAUGAUGUCUUCGGACCAAAGAUUUAUCGGCAAAGGAUGAGCCCGCGUAGGAUUAGGUAGUUGGUGGGGUAAAGGCCUACCAAGCCGACGAUCCUUAGCUGGUCUGAGAGGAUGAUCAGCCACACUGGGACUGAGACACGGUCCAGACUCCUACGGGAGGCAGCAGUGGGGAAUAUUGGACAAUGGGCGAAAGCCUGAUCCAGCCAUGCCGCGUGUGUGAAGAAGGUCUUCGGAUUGUAAAGCACUUUAAG